rnacentral:rRNA from 1 species
GGGUGAGUAAUGCCUAGGAAUCUGCCUGGUAGUGGGGGAUAACGUCCGGAAACGGACGCUAAUACCGCAUACGUCCUACGGGAGAAAGCAGGGGACCUUCGGGCCUUGCGCUAUCAGAUGAGCCUAGGUCGGAUUAGCUAGUUGGUGGGGUAAUGGCUCACCAAGGCGACGAUCCGUAACUGGUCUGAGAGGAUGAUCAGUCACACUGGAACUGAGACACGGUCCAGACUCCUACGGGAGGCAGCAGUGGGGAAUAUUGGACAAUGGGCGAAAGCCUGAUCCAGCCAUGCCGCGUGUGUGAAGAAGGUCUUCGGAUUGUAAAGCACUUUAAGUUGGGAGGAAGGGCAGUAAAUUAAUACUUUGCUGUUUUGACGUUACCGACAGAAUAAGCACCGGCUAACUCUGUGCCAGCAGCCGCGGUAAUACAGAGGGUGCAAGCGUUAAUCGGAAUUACUGGGCGUAAAGCGCGCGUAGGUGGUUCGUUAAGUUGGAUGUGAAAUCCCCGGGCUCAACCUGGGAACUGCAUUCAAAACUGACGAGCUAGAGUAUGGUAGAGGGUGGUGGAAUUUCCUGUGUAGCGGUGAAAUGCGUAGA